UAUAUCGUGUGUCCCGCUGGUGUCCGAGGCGGCGCGACUGCCCGUCGGACUUAAUAGGGAAUCCGGUGCGAAUCCGGAACUGCCCCGCAGCGGUAAGUGGAAACGACCCCGUUCAAUGCACUGGCCCCCCGGGGGCUGGGAAGCGGCGGGUAGGCCGGUCGGCGCAAGCCCUCCUCGUCCACGAGUCCGAAGACCUGCCAGCAGCCGGUGGCCCGA
rnacentral:ncRNA from 1 species